AUUGAACGCUGGCGGCAGGCCUAACACAUGCAAGUCGAACGCGUGGCGGACGGGUGAGUAAUGUCUGGGAACCUGCCUGAUGGAGGGGGAUAACUACUGGAAACGGUAGCUAAUCCCGCAUACCAUCGACUUUUCCCAGAUUGGAUUAGCUAUUAGGUGGGGUAAAGGCUCACCUAGGCGACGAUCCAUAGCUGGUCUGAGAGGAUGACCAGCCACACUGGAACUGAGACACGGUCCAGACUCCUACGGGAGGCAGCAGUGGGGAAUAUUGCGCAAUGGGCGCAAGCCGGAUGCAGCAAUGCCGCGUGUAUGAAGAAGGCCUUCGGGUUGUAAAGUACUUUCAGCGGGGAGGCGGUACCCGAAGAAGAAGCACCGGCUAACUCCGUGCCAGCAGCCGCGGUAAUAC
rnacentral:rRNA from 1 species